rnacentral:rRNA from 1 species
AUGAACGCUGGCGGCGUGCCUAAUACAUGCAAGUCGAGCGAACAGACGAGGAGCUUGCUCCUCUGACGUUAGCGGCGGACGGGUGAGUAACACGUGGAUAACCUACCUAUAAGACUGGGAUAACUUCGGGAAACCGGAGCUAAUACCGGAUAAUAUAUUGAACCGCAUGGUUCAAUAGUGAAAGACGGUUUUGCUGUCACUUAUAGAUGGAUCCGCGCCGCAUUAGCUAGUUGGUAAGGUAACGGCUUACCAAGGCAACGAUGCGUAGCCGACCUGAGAGGGUGAUCGGCCACACUGGAACUGAGACACGGUCCAGACUACUACGGGAGGCAGCAGUAGGGAAUCUUCCGCAAUGGGCGAAAGCCUGACGGAGCAACGCCGCGUGAGUGAUGAAGGUCUUCGGAUCGUAAAACUCUGUUAUUAGGGAAGAACAAAUGUGUAAGUAACUAUGCACGUCUUGACGGUACCUAAUCAGAAAGCCACGGCUAACUACGUG